UACGUAGGGGGCUAGCGUUGUCCGGAAUCAUUGGGCGUAAAGCGCGCGUAGGCGGCCAGAUAAGUCCGGUGUGAAAGCCACAGGCUCAACCUGUGAAUGCCGCUGGAAACUGUCUGGCUAGAGUCCGGGAGGGGCGAGUGGAAUUCCUGGUGUAGCGGUGAAAUGCGCAGAUAUCAGGAGGAACACCAAUGGCGAAGGCAGCUCGCUGGAACGGAAACUGACGCUG
rnacentral:rRNA from 1 species